UUCAGCAGGUAGUGAUCUCAGCUGGUCUUGAACCGCAAACUGGCUCCUGGCUGCAGCUCCAGCCUCAGUUCAGAUCUUCUGUUGUUAGCGAGUGGCUUGCGCAUGCGUGGUUCAGUCCAUCAGAAAGGUUAAGGAGAUGUAACCACCAGCCAUCCUGAAACUGACCAAAUGAGGCACUCAAGGGAGAUGUAACCACCAGCCAUCCUGAAACUGACCAAGCCUCACCACAAGAGCUAUGCCCAUGACCUUUGCUUUAUUUUUGAUGCAAAGAUCUCUCCAGUAGGAGCUUAGGCCUCAUUAUGUGGAAGCAUGUUCUCCAACUGAGCCUGUGCAAGUGAAUACCCCCACCUCUCCCUUUUGAAUAUUAUUCCCCAACUGAAAUAAAAGUUCCUGCUUCCCUUAGUUCUGGGACGCCAUGACUUUGGAAAUGAUUCCUCACGGCCUCCUAUUUGCUGCAAAUACAGUUUACUUUGUGAGACAAC